AAUCCUUUGGCAACGCACAGGUUGAUGAGAAGCUGGAUGAGAAAAUCAUCUAUGAAGCGCAUUAGGCUUGUCAGACCAGCAUGCUAUAAAUUGGUCCUCCACAGUCUACGUACCAUGAGUAAAAAUGUUACAAAUGCUUAAAUGUUAGAUUUGAUUUUCAGGGAGCAGGGAUACACACACCUGUGGGAUAAAACAAGCAGUGUGUCCUGCAUCAAUUGUCUAUUUUGUCACAUUAACGGCUCAGUGGAGUUUGCUAUCCCAGUUUGGAGUUAACGGAAGUAUGGAAAAUGCUACACCCAAUCACAAAUGGAGUCUUGCUGAGCCAAUAGAGACGCAACUCCCACCUACGAAGUGACUUGACGUGGCACGUUAAGGAACCUCACUUUUUUUUAUCUUUUAUGGAAAUAAAAUCAAUUAUUUAAGUGUG